rnacentral:rRNA from 1 species
UACAGAGGGUGCAAGCGUUGUUCGGAAUUAUUGGGCGUAAAGAGCUCGUAGGCGGCCUGUUGCGUCCGCUGUGAAAUCCCGGGGCUCAACCCCGGGCGUGCAGUGGAUACGGGCUGGCUGGAGGCAGGCAGGGGAGAACGGAAUUCCUGGUGUAGCGGUGAAAUGCGCAGAUAUCAGGAGGAACACCAAUGGCGAAGGCAGCUCGCUGGGACGGUACUGACGCUGAGACGCGAAAGCGUGGGGAGCAAACAGG